rnacentral:rRNA from 1 species
AAUGAACGUUGGCGGCGUGGAUUAGGCAUGCAAGUCGUAUGGGUCGGUGUAGCAAUACAACGGCAAGUGGCGAAAGGGAGAGUAACACGUAGAUACCUACCCUCUGGUCGGGGAUACCGCGGCAUAACCGCAAGUAAUACCCGAUAAAAUCUCCGGAUCAAAGGUGUGAUUCCGCCGGAGGAGGGGUCUGCGUUCUAUCAGCUUGUUGGUGAGGUAAUGGCUCACCAAGGCUAAGACGGAUACGGGGUGUGAGAGCAUGCCCCCGCUCACUGGGACUGAGACACUGCCCAGACACCUACGGGUGGCUGCAGUCGAGAAUCUUCGGCAAUGGGCGCAAGCCUGACCGAGCGACGCCGCGUGCGGGAUGAAGGCCUUCGGGUUGUAAACCGCUGUCGAGGGGAAUGAAGUGUAGGUGGGUACUCCCAUCUAUUUGACAGAUCCCUGGAGGAAGCAUGGGCUAAGUUCGUGCCAGCCGCCGCGGUAAGAC